AUGUCCUUUGUCUCCAGACUUCACGGACACGUUGGAGAUACUGAGAUCACAGUUGGGAACAGAAUACGUGAACACUUCACCGACUUGAAGAUACAGUCCUCUUGGUUAUUAAUAGCCAAAAAGAUUCAAACACACAGAGGCGUUCAGCUGAAAAAUAAUAUGACAAGUAUGAAUGAGUCAUCAGGCAGAUCAAGCCAAGAAGCUACUGUCAGGGGUCUUUAUGGAAUAUAUUGGAUGGAAUGUCUAUCAUCCACGCUUCGGCUUAUUGGAGGGGUCAAGACCAGCCCUUUAAGAAAAACUGAUCAGCUUCCCAAUAUUGAAAUUCCUACUUAUUGACCUGACACAGAAUAUCCUGCCUUGUGUCAAAAAUACCAUCUUCCAAACCGUGGGGAUAGACACUAAAAAGAGGCCUAUGAUUCAACUAUAUAUAAAGUGUGUGUUGAGCACAUGUAAACAGAAGAUAGUAGAAGCCACAGGAGAUGAAUCAGAAUUAUUCAAGAUAACUCCACAAUGAGCUCAAAGAAUAUCAUUAGGCCUACGGACCUGCCUUAUUUUAAACACAAGCGCUCUCAAACUUGACAAUACCUCUUAGGAAAAAUUACAGGGUGUAUACUCCAGUAUGCAGUCGACAAGUCCGUAAAAAUGCCACUUUAUUUUUAUGAUUGGAAGCCUUGCUGUUCAUGGUAGAAAAUUUGAAAACCGCAGAAAAUACCCCGAAAGCUAACACCAAACACUCAGAAACAGCCACGGUUCCUACGUUGCUGGGUUUCCCUGCACCUUUACUCACUUGUUUGUUUGUUUGUUUAUUUUCCCUGCACCUUUUUAAAAAAAGACACAGUAUUUGGUGUCUUUGUCCAAAUGUGGCCGCUUUGUCCUCAUCUGAUGGUUCACAGUGACGGUUUUUCUCAGGUGUUAAAUAAUGCUAGAUUCUCCAGUCACGUCUUGUUUUCUUUCUCUUUUAAAAUCUACAAAAUAUGAAUGCUGUACAGACCCCCAACCGGCUCACCCAUCCGCCUUCCACAUACAACACCUUCUGGUCAGGGAGGGUGGUGCAGAAUCUCUCUGAAAAGUGAAACAGAAAAAAAAAAAAAAAAAAAAAAGUUUCACUCACAGUUGAAUUCAAACCCUAACAGGUAAAGACUUUCAUACCAGGAAACUCUCCCCCCCCUCUCCUUUAUCUUAAGAUAUUUCAGAGCAAAUUAUCUGGGAAUAAAGACCACAAAAGGGGUAUUCA
rnacentral:lncRNA from 1 species